CAAUAGCGUAUAUUAAAGUUGUUGCGGUAAAAAAGCUCGUAGUUGGAUUUCUGUUGAGGACGACCGGUCCAUACCACGUAUGCGCAUCUGGCUCGGCCUCGGCAUCCUCUCGAAAUACGUUUCUGCGCUUGAUUGCGUGGAGCGGAGUUCGGGACUUUUACUUUGAGGAAAUUAGAGUGUUCACGGCAGGCUAUCGCCCGAAUACGUUAGCAUGGAAUAAUAAUCUAGGGCAUUGGUUCUAUUUUGUUGGUUUCUAGAGCUAGUGUAAUGAUUAAUAGGGAUAAUUGGGGGCACUUGUACUAACGCGUCAGAGGUGGAAUUCUUGGAUUGCGUUAUGACAAACUAGUGCGAAAGCAUUUGCCAAGGAUGUUUUCAUUGAUCAAGAACGAAAGUUAGGGGAUCGAAGAUGAUUAGAUACCGU
rnacentral:rRNA from 1 species